GUGUGUGUGUGUGUGUGUGUGUGUGUGUGUGUGUGUGUGUGUGUGUGUGUGUGUGUGUGUGUGUGUGUGUGUGUUUGUAUAAAGCUGGGCCUUAUUGCCAGUUGCCAAAAGCCCUGCCGAUUGGAUGAAGUUCAGUUAUGUGAAUCAGGUUGUGCCCUGGCUGAGUGAUUUGGCUCCUGCUCUCUGAUUGGCUAAAAACUGUAUUUGGUGUGUGCUGGGUACUUUUAACUGUCCAAUAGGAUGUCCCUUCCAUAGGUGCACAUAUCUGACUCCCUGUCUGAAUUUUCCUCCAUUUUACACUAACAUGUUAACCACAUGACACAUGGUGCUUACACAAUCUGAAUAUUUAUAAUCAGUUUAAAGAGGUUGCCACUAAAGGAUGUAUGAGCUCUAUAUGAAUCAGAGAUUGCCACUAAAGGAUGUUUAAGCUGUAUUUGAAUCAGGGGUUGGCACUAAAGGAUGUAUGAGCUCUAUGUGAAUGAGUGCAAUUCAUUCAGUGCAUUCAUGCAGUGCAGUCAUUCAAUUGUGCGUUCUUGGAGACUUUUUUUUCCAGGCACUUGGACUCUUAUGUUUAAUGGAUGAACCUCCAUAUGUUUUAUUACACACUAUUGCAUUAAAAGUUUGUAUGUUUCACAUUUUGAAAUCCUCUACUUCGUCCCAUUUUUUAUAACCUGAACAUAAUAGAAACAGUGAUUGUUGUGGCUCUACACCAAGGUCACGGGUUAGUUACUCACAGAGCACACAUACUGAUGAAAUAGGCCUUACUUGAACUGAAUACCACUAAGGAUAAAAGCUCCUGUCAACUGAAUACAUGUAAUUACAUAUGAUUCAUCUGAUCAACUGCUAUUUCACAGCAUCUUGCCAUUAAGUAUUAGAAGGGGGAGACACACACACUGUUUUUCUGUUAUAUUAUAUUAUAUUACAUUACAUAGAUCACCACCAGAGGUCAGUAGCACUCCACCAGAUGAGGUGAGUCUGUGGUAGAUUUAUGCAGGGAAUCUUGCGGUCGGCAUGCUGGGAACCUGGAGACUUAAUGAGAAAUGUAACACAUAUUUGAAAGGUCUGUGUCAAAGUGCUGAGUGCACAAGUACCUACGAGCACAAAAUCACACAAAAUUGCUUACAGAUGUGUUAAUGCUGUUAAUAUUUCCAUUGUAAGGCUGAUGAUAAAAGGAC
ensembl:lncRNA